AUUGAACGCUGGCGGAAUGCUUUACACAUGCAAGUCGAGCGGCAGCGCGGGCAACCUGGCGGCGAGCGGCGAACGGGUGAGUAAUGCAUCGGAACAUGUCCACUCGUGGGGGAUAGCCCGGCGAAAGCCGGAUUAAUACCGCAUACGCCCGAGAGGGGAAAGGGGGGGACUCGCAAGAGCCUCACGCGACUGGGUUGGCCGAUGUCAGAUUAGCUAGUUGGCGGGGUAAAGGCCCACCAAGGCGAUGAUCGGUAGCUGGUCUGAGAGGAUGAUCAGACACACUGGAACUGAGACACGGUCCAGACUCCUACGGGAGGCAGCAGUGGGGAAUUUUGGACAAUGGGGGAAACCCUGAUCCAGCCAUUCCGCGUGAGUGAAGAAGGCCUUCGGGUUGUAAAGCUCUUUUGUCCGGAGCGAAGCGGACACGUCGAAUACGCGUGUCUACUGACGGUACCGGAAGAAUAAGCACCGGCUAACUACGUGCCAGCCGCCGCCGUAA
rnacentral:rRNA from 1 species